rnacentral:lncRNA from 1 species
UUGCUCGUCGACACUUGCAAUCGGCCUCCCGCAGCACUCGGCACCCGAUUUGGCCCGAUCUCGCAGUUGCGCUCCAACAGCGCGUUGCUUCGCAGCCCUGAAAAUUAUAGGUCUUCGGUUAUGUGCCACGGUACUCCAAAUCCAUUUUCACGAUUUUACGACGUCGCAUCGGCCCUCCAGGCAGAAAUGAAGCUAAAUUGCUUGUUUCUUCAAUAUCUUUAUAACGGCUCGUCGGAUUGUCGAACCGACUUCGCU